AUCUUGCUGGUGAUGGAUACUCGAAUAGGUUGCGCGUGAGACUCCAUUAUCAGCAACAUCUGGUAUGAAUGUGUGUGAAGGUAUGCAUGUGACUGGACUGUGAUAGACUGACGACUAAGAGUUUUGACUGACUCGAUACUGAGACAAAACGACACAGACUUUAGGAUUAGUAAAUGUGGAGCAACAAUUCACCCAGCCUGCAACAGAUGGGUGGAUACUUUGUUUUGUUUUGUUUUUGCAGGAGCAGGAGGAUAAGAGAGAGCAGAGGGGGAGACUGUAGCUUCACAUGAGAGUGUGGAACUGCAGACUUAACCCUUCGGUGGCUAAUUUUGAGUUACUGAUGUUUGCAUUAAGAAAAUUGUGUUGUAUUAGCUGUGUUUCGAUUAAAGGCAUUACAUUAUAUCCACCUUAAAAAUGUUGGGGAAUGUCAAAGGCUACAGUGAAGGAAAGGUUUUUUACUAAUGACUGAACAUGUUAUUAUUAACCAUAGCAGGCCACUGUAAAAAGUCAAUUAAGUUUUAUAGAGAAAAAGCCAAAACUUUAAUAAUAUGUAUGAAUAACAGGGAAAUGGAAAACUUCACAUUCAGAAUAGAGAUAUGUAAUAACAAACACUGGUCCAUGUGAUUUAGGUUCACCCUUGAAAUAGUCAGUAAUUUAAAAAGUAGAAUAUAACCGACAGGGGCAUGUGAUAGGAGGUGGUGCUGCAUAAGAACAAGAGCAAGCUAAAGAAAGAGAAAACUAUUGUGUUUAGUUUUGAUAAAUUCGAAUUAAAAUGUACCAUUACACUCAGAGGAUCAAUAUGAAAUCAAAAUAUAUGCAAAUUCUGUAUGAAGUACAUGACUGGUGACUGGAGAAAUAUUAUGAAAGGUGAGAAAGGUAAGCCCCGAUGGGGGUGAUAAAACCAUAGAUUUGAAUUGAAUUCUUAUAAUUUGACACCAAACAUAAAAUUUCUCAAAAACUGUGUUGUUGUUGUAAAUUUAGUUUGUGUUACAUCUGAUAUGUGCUAACAUAGAAGUCAUUAUACAUGGGCUCCACUCGUUAAAGGGGGACAGAGGGCCUUAGGACUAGGAAGAAGCAAUGGACCUCGCUAAAUUGGAUUAUGAGGUGUAGGUGAUCUCUUU